rnacentral:tRNA from 1 species
AGAAACUUAAACUUAACCCCUAAAGCUAAGAACCUUCAAAGUUCUAGAUAAGAGUGAAACCCUCUUAGUUUCUG